ensembl:lncRNA
CAGAGCCUUGAUGCUGAGGAACAGAGCCGUCUUCAAAAUGCUGGAAUUGGGUCUUGGAGCUCAAAGAACACUUGCAGAAUCCCGUGAGGAGAGUCAGAAGGACUUGACUGCCAAGCGUUGACAUUGGGGUCAUGAAACACCAGCACUUCUGGAAUGUGACCCUUUGGAACUGCCUUCUGAAACUUUGUGUUAUCUUCCUGCAUAGAGCCAUCGAGGCAAAGGGAAGGACUCAGGAGAGGAAGCAGUAAAGGAACCCAGCUCCUGGGGGCCUCAAGAAGAGUGGAGGCAAACUUCAGCCAAGGGAGUCAAGCUCUGGUUCUCCACCCCAUUCUUGGCCAAGGUGUUUCUUCCUGGAGACUCCCACUCAGCCAUACCUGUCCACAGGAGAAGGAAACCAGACCUGGAAUGAACUCAGACUGAGAUCUUUUCCUGGAGUUUCAUGGCCCUCAGCCUUGCCUGGGACCAUCUUCAUAACUGUCUUCUCCAAAAUCAAGGGGCCUUCUCUGUAUGGCCGUGGCUUGUGUCUGUCAAAUUACAGAUGUCAGCAAGCAGAUGUUGGAGGGGACCAGGAAUCCUGAAGAGGAAAGGAAGACCCUAGAGAGUGAGUGGGCACAACACAUGGUGGACUGGAUCCUGGAAGCUAGAGGUCAGGGUAGCAUACUUCAUAGAUGAGGCUCCUGGGACACAGGCAAGACAGAAAAUGAAUGUCGGAACAGAGUUCUUCCUUCCCUGAAUAAAGCCUUGGUGAUGAACGAGUUGGCCUGAGUAGGUGUGAUGAAGUAAGUCCUUGGUGUGACUGAACCUUGCCUGGGAGCUUCUACAAGGUUGCAAGGCGAGGGAAGCCUUCCUGCUGCUCCUGAGGGAAGGAUACAGAAUGCCUUCUGUGCUCCCCACACCCAACAAGAGUCAGUCCCUAGGACCCAAACGUAUCUUACCUACUGGAACUGCCUGUGCUUUGUAUCUGCUGGAUCUUCUGUAUCCAGGACUGGAAAAGAUGUCUACAGCAUGGACCUGGAAUGGAAGGAGCCCUCCUUCCAGUGACUUCUCUUGGGACCACCUGGACUUUGCCAUUGCAAGGGGUCUGUGGGUGAUGUUUGCCCAUCUCAUUACCCUUCCCCACCAGGAAGUUUCUCCUCUGCUGAACAGUGUGGCCAGGAACUGUCUGAGGAUGCAAGAGGAAGUUAGAUGGGGUUUCGGGGUGGGUCUCCUGACUUUGAAUUCUAAUGAAGCAAAGGUUAGAGAGUUAAAGGCUUGGGCCUUGAGGCCGCAGCUGAAGAAGACCCUGAAAGUCAAAAAAAGUCAUGUGUGCAUCUGAAUAUAUGAAUAGGUGUGUGUGUGUGUGUGUGUGUGUGUGUGUGUGUGUGUGUGUGUGUAAGAGAGAUGGGGGGAUAUGGGGGAGGAGAGAGCUGUGCAGGCGAUCAAGAGUCAAAGUGAAAGGAAAUAGGCAUGGAUGGACCAUGCCAGAUGACAACAAUGGUCAUAGCUAGAAUUUAUGUAACACUGGAUGCCAAGCCUGUUCUAAAUUAUUUUUUAAUUUGUUUUUGUUUUUUAUGUAUGAGUGUCUUGCUUGCAUGUAUGUAUGUGUAUCAUGUGUGUGCCUGGUGCCCAUAGACGUCAGAGGAAGACAUUGGAUCCCUGGAGUCACAGAUAGUUGUGAGCAACCAUGUGGGUGCCAGGAAUCGACCCCAGGUCCUCUGCAAGAGCAGCAAAUGUUUUUAGCUGCUGACCCAUCUCUCCAGCCCCAUGUCCCAAAUUUGUUGUAUGUAUUAACUAUUUUAACCCUUGUAACCAACUUCAGAUAUUAUUAGCCCAUUUUGCAUUGGCUGAAACCUAGGCCCAGGGAACAAAUAACUGGAAGUAAAAUUUG